rnacentral:rRNA from 1 species
UACGUAGGGUGCGAGCGUUAAUCGGAAUUACUGGGCGUAAAGCGUGCGCAGGCGGUUAUAUAAGACAGUUGUGAAAUCCCCGGGCUCAACCUGGGAAUUGCAUCUGUGACUGUAUAGCUAGAGUACGGUAGAGGGGGAUGGAAUUCCGCGUGUAGCAGUGAAAUGCGUAGAUAUGCGGAGGAACACCGAUGGCGAAGGCAAUCCCCUGGACCUGUACUGACGCUCAUGCACGAAAGCGUGGGGAGCGAACAGG